rnacentral:rRNA from 1 species
UACGUAGGGUGCAAGCGUUGUCCGGAAUUAUUGGGCGUAAAGAGCUCGUAGGCGGUCUGUCGCGUCGGCCGUGAAAAACUCGGGGCUCAACCCCCGAGCCUGCAGUCGAUACGGGCAGACUAGAGUGCUGUAGGGGAGACUGGAAUUCCUGGUGUAGCGGUGAAAUGCGCAGAUAUCAGGAGGAACACCAGUGGCGAAGGCGGCUCACUGGCCCCGUUACUGACGCUGAGGCACGAAAAGCGUGGGGGAGCAAACAGG